rnacentral:rRNA from 1 species
UGGCGGACGGGUGAGUAAUGUCUGGGAAACUGCCUGAUGGAGGGGGAUAACUACUGGAAACGGUAGCUAAUACCGCAUAACGUCGCAAGACCAAAGAGGGGGACCUUCGGGCCUCUUGCCAUCAGAUGUGCCCAGAUGGGAUUAGCUAGUAGGUGGGGUAACGGCUCACCUAGGCGACGAUCCCUAGCUGGUCUGAGAGGAUGACCAGCCACACUGGAACUGAGACACGGUCCGGACUCCUACGGGAGGCAGCAGUGGGGAAUAUUGCACAAUGGGCGCAAGCCUGAUGCAGCCAUGCCGCGUGUAUGAAGAAGGCCUUCGGGUUGUAAAGUACUUUCAGCGGGGAGGAAG